rnacentral:lncRNA from 1 species
AUCUACUGCAUGCACCGGUUUAGUUUUAUAUGUAAACGGAUUUUAACUAAGUUGUUUGCCCUAUCGCAUCUAUUGCCCAGCAGUUGCAGCUGCCGCUGCCAUGCGUUCCCAUAUAUGGCCUGGCACAGCACGAAACAGGCAAAAGUGGCUCACAGGAAACCAACAACCUAGCGACCGAUCGAAGUACGUAUAGUACUGGUACUACAAAAUGUAUGUGCAACUCCAUGAGCUUGUCUUUUCUGUUGUGCAUCGGUGCAUAUAUAUGACCUGUGUGUGUACAAUUACAUGCACAUAGCCACAUAGGGGCUGUUUGCUUUGGCGUUAGCCGUAGGGCAGCUAGGCAGCUGCAAAGGGCUAGCUGCUUGCUUCAUGCUGGGGCGGGUGCAUGCGAGCAGCAGCAGCAGCUGGUUGCAUUUAAAGUUGGCUGGCCGUGGCUCUGACCCUGGUCCGGCCGCCUCUCUGGUUUUCCGUUGUCCCUUGGCUCGACGAGUAGAUGGGCACGGCGCACGCACAAGAUCCAAACAAAAUCUAAGGUGGAUUUGCAUGCGUGAGAGAGAGAUAGAGAGAGACCAGAAAGCACGGGGAAGAGAAGUACUGCGAGGGGGGACCCGGCCGGCCUGAGAUAGCAACUAUACGUGACUGCAGAGCAGCUGUUGGAUUUUUUUUUUCUUUUCCACAACUAUCUCCCUAGCCGCUGUAGGAGUUGGGAUUCUCCCUCUCUCUCAUGCUUUGCUUUGUUGUUUGCACCGUACGUCUUUCUGUUUCCUGUCAAACAACACAAGUUUUGCUUUGCUUCUUAUUCCGCCAUUCCAAACCUACCACUACAAUAACAAGCUACAAAAAAUAAUAGCACAUCCAUCUACUUGACCUCUUCAGUAACAUUUUACUCCUCCUCCUCCUGCUGCUGCUGCUACGUAUACGUGCUAAAAAAAAGAGAGUUGGCUAACGAUCACUUGCAUGCAUGCACAACCAUGAUCUGAUUGAUCAAAGAGAGUGAUCUGACCACAUUCUCUCUCUUUCCACCAAAGUCUAAACGCUUAGGCCCACCUGCACGAUCUGCUAUGCACCUAUGCCCCCACACGUGCUACAGUAGAAGCACACCAUUAAAGUGUUCCAUUAAAAGCAGCUUACCUCCCUUCUGUUCUGCCCCUCUUGCCUGCCAAAACAUGUCUCUAGUGCCCUCGUUUACACAGCUUAAAUUAAAAACCAGCACCGGCCAAGUCAGUCUCGGCCUCCGUCUGCAUGCCAUGAGGGGUCGCCGUCUCCUCGACCUGCUCUCCCCUGCCCCUCUUCUCUGAUUAAUUUCAGAUCAGCACACUGCACGUACGUACUAGUAUGGUCCAAUUAGCGGGUCUUUGAUUACGUCGCAAGUUGCCCAGCUUGGGCGUCCUUUUAUGUACAUUCUCAGCUGGCUCCAUUAUCUAGCUUGGCCUGGUGAUCUCGAUCUGGUCGUCGUCCAUGGUGCCCGUGGUCCAUAUAUAUGUGUGCGGCAGGACGCAGGUUUGUCUUGAUACAUAUGUUUGGUUGCUGCACGAGGUGCGAACUGGGCUCGAUCACUUCGAUCGACGUACUACGAGUGCGUGCCAAGGUACUGGUGCAGUAGUGCUGCCAUCGGCGGCAUGUGAAUGAAUUCGCUGGAAGAGCUACGAGAGCUUCCAUCAAGGAUAAAACUGAAGCACUGAACCUGCAAAAAUACUGUACGACGUCGCU